rfam:Pan troglodytes isolate Yerkes chimp pedigree #C0471 (Clint) chromosome 3, whole genome shotgun sequence.
GCCAGGCGAGGUGGUGCAUGCCUGUAAUCCCAGCUACUCGGGAGGCUGAGGCAGGAGAAUCGCUUGAGCCCAGGAGGUGGAGGUUGCAGUGAGCCAAGAUUGUGCUACUGCACUCCAGCCUGGGUGACAGAGUGAGACCUUGUCUCAA